rnacentral:rRNA from 1 species
CCCUAUGGGUCGUAAACUUCUUUUAUACACCAAGAAAAAGCAGGACGUGUCCUGCCCCGACGGUAGUGUAUGAAUAAGCAUCGGCUAACUCCGUGCCAGCAGCCGCGGUAAUACGGAGGAUGCGAGCGUUAUCCGGAUUCAUUGGGUUUAAAGGGUGCGUAGGCGGCUUUUUAAGUCAGUGGUGAAAUCUUGCCGCUUAACGGUAAAAUUGCCAUUGAUACUGAUAAGCUUGAGUACAAUUGAGGUAAGCGGAAUGUGUAGUGUAGGGGGGAA